AAAUAGGCUCUUCAGAGCCACAUUAUAAAAACCGCAAAAUUUUU
rfam:Culex pipiens quinquefasciatus supercont3.102 genomic scaffold, whole genome shotgun sequence.